AGAUCUCUGUCCCACACCUAAGCACAAAAUAGAAACUCAUUCCACCCAAAAACACAUGGCUCCAGGAAGAAGGAGAAGAAGAAGUAAGAAGGAAAGGAAGGGAUUCAGUAAUAACAAUAUUAUCAAUUUGUCUUAACAAUGGGUUUCGUGAUCAAAUAAGAAUAGAGCUCUUCAACGCUCAAUGUCAGUCAAUUAUAUCCCUAUGAACAAAUUAACCAUAAAUGUUUGCCUAGAACACCUAACAAAAAAGAGAGUGCGAAAAAAGCACUCCGUGUCAAAGACUAAAGAGCUAAACUUAACCACUGCGGCAAUCUUGUAUCCAUGAUCCUCUUCACUACAUCCCUUACAAAACAAUCAAAACAAGAUGCGCAAAAACCUUUCAUUAUACUUGUCUGUCCAGCAGCCACCCUCCCACCAUGGUUGCAAAUUGGUGGUGGGGGUACAAAUUGGACUUCACUCCUCUUGUG
rnacentral:misc_RNA from 1 species